UACGUAGGGGGCAAGCGUUGUCCGGAAUCAUUGGGCGUAAAGCGCGUGUAGGCGGUUCGAUAAGUCUGCUGUGAAAGUCCAGGGCUCAACCCUGGGAUGCCGGUGGAUACUGUCGGGCUAGAGUGCGGAAGAGGCGAGUGGAAUUCCCGGUGUAGCGGUGAAAUGCGCAGAUAUCGGGAGGAACACCAAUUGCGAAGGCAGCUCGCUGGGACGUGACUGACGCUGAGACGCGAAAGCGUGGGGAGCAAACAGG
rnacentral:rRNA from 1 species